GCGAGCCUCCUCCUCCUCCUCCUCCUCCUCCUCCUCAUCCUCUCCUUCCUAUCCCGAGUCGCACGUAACGCGAUGGGUUCAAACGGCUCUCAAAGAUCCCGACAAAUAUCUUCACGCUGUCGCACCCCAUUUGAUAAACAGCCCGGUGUGUAUUUGUCUCUCCGAUUUCAGAGGACCCGGACAGAACUCGCCGUGCGUUAUACGGUCAAGUUGUCUCCCGGUCCCCGGGGAUCCCGAAGCUUUCGAGAAUAUAACGCAACGAUGUAUACACUAUACGUAUAUAUACAUCUAACGGCGGACAAUCGCAUGGGGAGAUUUUUUUUUACGGGGCGGUUACCAGCGUGCGGGGGAAAAAAAAGAAUAAUUCUUACACGUAGUGUUUUAUACGUCCGCGGAGCGCAUGUAAAUGCGCUCGAACGAAUGGAAUGGAUGAAUUUUACGUAUGCGUUUACGCUGACGAUAUCAAAGGAUAUCCUUGUAACGGAAUAGGUUUCGAGCGAAGAAAGCUGCUGCGUCUGCUACCAACAGCUGGGGGGUGGAAAAAAACGAGCGAACAAAUUAAGGCAUUCAUAUUCCAAGAUCGUUUUAGCUACUCGCUUCUUAUUCUUCCCCUUCUUUUUCACUCCGAUCGUGCUCGGAGAAUUUAUCAUCGCCGCGAUUCGAUUGAUAUAUUUUAUCCUCCUUCGUUUUUUCUCUUUUUUGAAAAUUCGGAUUCCUUCUACUUUUACCGAUUACACGACAGUCGUCGAAAUUUCGAGUUGGUGAGAAAAAAUGGAGUCCGAGACGUCAGAAAAAAGGAAAGGGAACCCUAUUCGGAUACGAAUUUAAUCGACAGACUUGCAAACUUGUCGUCCCUUUUUUCGUUUCGCUUCGAAAAAUUUCUCCCAUUUAAUUUCGACAGCGAUUCAACGGCUGGAGUGAAUCGGCUGAAGUGAAAUGAAAAGGAUAAUGAAAAUAAUAAAAAAAGAGAGAGAAAAAGGGGUACGAUCCGCCGUUGCCGUUGCCGAUCGUAUUAAGCUAUUGAAAAAUACAGGUAUAUACAAGAGGCCGAGAUAAGAAAGCGCGGGAAAAAAUUCAUUCUAUUGCCCUUAAGAUAAAAUCGACUAAUUUAAAAGGACUGCAAUUAGCUUACAAUCGGAAUGAGCGGCUGAUAAAGAUAUUAAGAGUCGUACUACCAUAGAGGUAUACGUUCGUUCGAUAAGUUGAAAUCCAUUUCAAUAUUAUUAUCCUUAUCAAAAACAACUCGGCGACCCAUUUAAUUUAACAACCUCGACGAUGUGAUACGAAUGUAGAAUUUUAUUACGGAGAGUUCAUUAUCAAGAAUUCAUUGCUUCGUUCUAUCGCGACGAUUGCUUUCUUUCUUUUCCUUUUUUUUUUUUCUUAGUAAUUUUUAUUUCACUUCGGACGAAACUUUUGAUUGGAAAUUAAUAGCGGAAUCGAGAUUCCUUUUUUGCGACGAUCGAAAAUAUCCCCACUCCUCUCGUUGUCCCAUUCGACGGGGAAAAAAAAAGUAUCGAACGGCAGCGGCUCGCUACCAGCUGCGCGGUCUCCUCGUCGUUAAAAAAGCACUUUCUAUACGCCAUUCGUUAACGAAUCGAUUAAUAAUCAAACGGGCCACGCUCCGUACGCUCGUCUAGAUAACGGCGAUUUUCUACGCCCGAUAAGUUAGCCGAGUUUGCCCGCCAACCUCGGCGACAUACAUCAUUCCACCUUCUAUCCCCGCUAAUUAGUCGCGUAUACCAAUCAUUACCGCGCGAACGGAUCACCUCUUCGAACUACUUCGAAAUCGGAGGCGCAACGGUGCGGCGAACGAUUGCGAACGAUUGCGUUACACCGCCCUCUCGUUAUUGUCUCAUCGCGUAUCGGCGCGGGAAGCGUUCGAAAGAUCGGCGGAACCGAUCGCCGAUCGGUUUUUUUUCGAUGCGUACGAUAAUUUCAAAAGUCCGCUUCCGAUUUACCAUCUCGAGCGCGCGUCUCUCGCUACGCACGCACUGGACGCGCAUCCUGCGUCAGAACUACGUCAGCUAAAGAGUACGAGACGCUGCGGGUAGCCGGCGGUCAACGACCGAACGCAUCUGCGGGGUCUAUUUUAAAACCUUUUUGACUCGCUCGAAUUACGCACCUUUCGUACAAACGCGUUUUAUAACUGAACAUUUCGAUAUCGUUGAGGUUCGUCGCGAUUUUGACGCGUUCCGCGAUGUCCAUCCGCGUAUCGACGAGUCGUCUGCGUUUCGUCGAAAGCGGAGACUUUUUUUCCGCGGGUCGUCGACUGUGGACGAAGGAGAGACACCCUUGGGGUAAAAGAAAAAAAAAAAGAGGAGCGAACGGUUCACACGGUAAUAAAGAUGAAUUCCCAUGGCUUGUGUGUGCCUACGGAGUUCCAUUCGUUCGAAAGGAUUUUCGGAGGUAACCGGGGGUCCAUUACCGAGGCAAACAUGUCACUCGGAAAAAAAAGUUAGGGUGUACUAAAAUCUCUGCCCGAUGCGAUGAUAUACGUACACAGAACGUCGAGGGGAACGCGUGAAACGUGGCGUAGGUUAGUGUGUACGCUCACGUUCCACUCUUGGAAUAUAAGAAUCGAAGGACCGAGAAAAAUGGAAAUAGGGAUGUACGGGGAUGACGGGGAAAUUGAGUCGCGCACCCGUGGGUCUUCGGUAUUCCUUGAAUAACUAUUUCGUUUCUCUUCCCGCCGGACGCUACGGGAUUCGAAAAUCUCAGCGAUCGGCUGAUCUGAAAAAUUUCGGUGAGAAACCGAUUUCGUUGGAGGUGUGAAAAAAAAAAAAAACACAAAACCGCCACCCAGCUUCGAUAGCGCGAUGAUUUUUCGAGCGUCGAUUUUCCAUCGUUUCGCGAAUCACAUCGCAUUCCCGCCGGAGUUUAACACAUCGGUGUUUAUGAAAUAUCGCGAGGAUAAUAUCGUGGCACUUGAACCGUGCUUCGGAGUUGGUUUAAUUGGAUUCCGUGAUUAUUUGGGGACACGUGGGUGGCGGUUGCCGGUUUCAAUCUCUAAACUCCGUUGAGCGAUAAAUGUGACGUAGGAAACACGUCGGGAGGGGUGGGCGGGGGUGGGCUUUUGUCCGCUACGGACAUAUUCGUUCGAUUGUAUGCGCGCGUUUGAUGAAUUCUUGAUUCGCUGUAAUCAACGUUCUCGCACAGUGUGUCGCCUCGUGGAGGAUCUGGUCGACCGCUUGACGCUCGUCGUCGAACGUUUCCAAAGUCGGAGGUAAUUUUCGAGGCGCGUGGGUGCAGCCGUAGAUAAUUCGAGACGGUUUCUUCCCGAAGCCCCGAAAUAGAUUUUGUAUCUCAACAAAACGAAAAAAAAAAAAAACAAAGCAAAAAAGAAAAAAAAGGCGAGAAACGAGCGUCCUCGUUUUAUAAAUGGGACUCCGAUGCAGCAUUGUUGGGAAAAUAUACCUCCGCCGUUAGGAAUAGAGUGAAAAAGAAAAAAGAAAAAAAAAAGAAGAAGAAAGGGAAAAAUAUGCAGCCGAAAUAUGACGUCGGGGAGGCCGCUGCGCUUCUGGGCAUCCGCGUCGCAAGAUUGUAACACGGAUAGAAAAUAAAAAAAGGCGGUGAAAUGUUUGUUUGGUAUAGAAAUAAAUUAUUAUUUCGUGGCUCUUCUCCCUCCCCGAUUUUCUCGCGCUUCCUCCACGUCCUUCCCACUCCUAAUUUUCUCAUUUUCGCGAAUCCGGUAUUGUUUGGGGGGGAAAAUUGAUCGCCCUCGUUCUCGCCCUCGUGUAAUAAAUCUUCGUACGCUCGGUGUCCCGUCGUCACGACGCCCGAUGACCGCGGUGUGGUCCGUAUAAUGAGAUCGUUCCUCGUCGGACGACGACGACGAUAGGAGGAGGAGGAGGAGGGUGCAGGCGGUUCGAACGAACGAUGUAACCGAUCGUGUUGACUGGCUGUCGACUGUCAACGAAAGCAAAUUUCAUCGCACAGUGUCGAAUUACAAAAGGGUGUUCGCGCUAAUGCGAGAGGAGGUAGAGGAGUACGAGAAGCUGCGACGAGCGAGAAAAAUUUGACGAUACCGACCUCGGAUCCGGAAAUAGCCGAGGUCGUUUUAUCGGAUGGAUUUUGGAAUCGGAAAACCCUUUUUUUUUCGGUUGGAGAGCAGACGAGCUAUCGAAAAAUCGAGAAUGUAGAUCAACAAGUGGAGUUGAACAGGAUUCGGAAAAUGAAUAGGACGGAACUUCAUCUUCUUCGAUCGUCCGGUUUCGAGAGAGUUUCGUCUCGAUUUACACCCCGUACGAGUUACCUGGUUAUCUAAGCGCGACGACGGGUGUCCAGUUAUGCGAAACGUUGACACAGUUUCUAUGAGUAAAAUUUUUAAACGACCGAAUGCAAUAGUGAAGGGGAAAUACGUACUCCCGGAUUUGGAUUCCGCAGAAGAAAAAAAAAAAAAAAAAAACCAGAUGUUCGAACAUCUUCGGCGUAGACUGUUCGGAUUUCAGCCGCGUGCUCCGAUAUUUAAGAGUCGUAAAACGAGCGUUGAAGUCGUGAGAAUGCAUUCUAAAAACAAUGUAAAUUCAAAAGAUAAUGGGCAACGCGAAAACUUUCACCACCGUUGGCAGAAACUCCGUUGAUUUUGGUAUAUUAUUUUUGGAAAGAGUUUCGAACGACUACGUCGUUUUUCAAACACACGUUUUCUCGAAGUGUUGAGAAUUUUAACGUCGUAUCGAAAUUCGAGGGGGGGGGGGGGGUUGCCUUUCCCCCGAUGUUGGUUUUGUACCCCCUUUCGGACGGUUUUUCUCUGCACAUUACACCGCAUAAAGUGCGUUCGUUAAUUUUGUGUGCACGCGGAGGAAACCGCGGACGGCGCGGAUUCGUUCUUUAAACUUUGCAAAAAUAGUGGUAGAUUUUAGAGAAUGAGAAACACAGGAAAGAGUAAACUCCGAUUGUUUGUUGAUUCUUGAGAGUUGUUUACGAGGAGGUUGCUUCACUCGAUCCAUCGGCACAUCAAAGCUCUACGACGUACGUUGCAUGUACCGAAAAUCCCCCGUUGCAGCUUUUUCCCUUCUCUUCAUUUUUUUUUUUUUUUUUCUCAGCAUUUCGAUUCGGCGACUCCUCUCUUUUUUCCCACCGAUUCGCAAAAUACGAUAUCCUCUUUGUUCUCGGGAUUGUUUGUUCGCUCUCCAUAAAAUCGGUCCUAAGCCAAUCCGCGUGUGUUUUUUUGCUGCAAACGUCAGCCGUUCUUAUCCUCUUCCAUAUCAGCGAUCGUCGAUCGAUAAAUCAUCCCGGAGUGCCUUAAUAUUUCAAUAGAAACAAAAAAAGAAAAAAUACUCAAAAAAAGCGAACACGUGGUAGAAUCGAUUCCUGAGAACCGCGUAGUGUUCGAAAAUACGAACCAACUGCACUAGGUGUUGAAAAAUUAUAUUUAAAUAUUUCAACGAAGUUUCUUUUUCAUCCUCUCAGCAGUUUUCACAUUUUUAGAUGUACGCGCCGUUCGCUCUGUCUUCUUCCUUCCCACGUGAAUAAAAUGAUAUUCUCUCGUAGCAAAAAAUUGAAACGUCCGUCGUACGGGUUACGAAUCUACAACGCAGGCUCGAUGUAUCAUCCCUCUGCAUAAAAAUCGCGCGAUUAUCGAAACGGGCGUAAUUGAUAAACCUCGGGUGGGGUGCGGGUCCGCGUUGCGUUUCUCCCUUCGAUAUUCGCGAGUCAGGUUAGUUUCCGACAAUGUUGGGGCUGAACUGCUCGGGUUGACCGGUCAGAAGAGCCUCGGGUAGGCGGGCUACGCGAUCGUAGGGAAGGGUAUUUUUCUCUCGCGGAGGCCACAUAGAGCGAUGUUCGAUGAGCCGUGUAACGAUGACCGGAGAGAGGAGAAGCCCCCGCCGCUUCUAUCCACCUUUCGAUUCUUUGUAUUAUACGUCGAGCUGAAGGCAUGAUUGAUUUUCAAUAGGUCAAUCGCUAAAGAACCGAAGAUAAAGUUAACGAAGCGCGCCUCGUGUAUCGCUGGGUCCUCGGGAUCCGUAAAGCGCCAGGCUCGACACUUUCGAUACAGCGUCAUUUUCGUCGGGAGCUUUCGAUCGAUUUUUUUUUCAAAGUUUCAGAGAAGUUUCGACGUGCUUUUCGCGAGGUCAAUGAGAGCGAAAAUUGCGAAAUUAAUUUUCAACGAUUUUCUUACGAGGGAAGAAAAGAAUAUCAACAGCUGGUAAUUAGAGUCUCAGUGUUUAUCGAUUUUCGCGAGAUUAUUUUUCAUUUAGGUACGUACGUAUAACGGCGGCUCGGAGAGUAUCCGCACCGCGGGACUAUAAUGGCUCGGUUAUCCUUAUAUUCAUUCGUAAUUCCGGUGAUGAUGAUAGGCUGUUAUAGCAGAUACGCGAGUAUAGAUACUAGUAAUUAUCGAACGUUAUUGCAGAAACUUGAACGUAAUUGUGUGUCCCUGCAGUAAAAUACCGCGCGAGCACGCAGCUGAGACCCAUCCGCAUCAGGCUAUCGCUCAAACUGAUUUUGAACCUCAUAACGUAAUUUGCAAUUUAAUCAAUCGAUCGCUCGGAUAGGAUAUGAUACCGUGUACACCUCUAUACCUGUAGCUACGGAUAUGUACAGAAAAGAAUUCUCUUUUAUCGACUUGAAUUUUCAAUCAAUCAUUAUCAUUUUUGUUUUUUUUCUUUUCUUUCUAUAUUCGUUCGUUAUUUCCCAUACCGCAAACUUGGAGUUGAAAAAAGCAAAAGUGAAA